rnacentral:rRNA from 1 species
GGAUGAACGCUAGCGACAGGCUUAACACAUGCAUUUCGAGGGGCAGCGGGGUAGUGCUUGCACUACUGCCGGCGACCGGCGCACGGGUGAGUAACACGUAUGGAACCUGCCCGCAGCAGGGGGAUAAGCGGAAGAAAUUCCGUCUAAUACCGCGUAAGAACGUUGGGAGGCAUCUCCCGAUGUUUAAAGAUUUAUCGGCUGCGGAUGGCCAUGCGGCGCAUUAGCUAGUCGGCGGGGUAACGGCCCACCGAGGCGACGAUGCGUAGGGGUUCUGAGAGGAAGGUCCCCCACACUGGUACUGAGACACGGACCAGACUCCUACGGGAGGCAGCAGUGAGGAAUAUUGGUCAAUGGCCGAGAGGCUGAACCAGCCAAGUCGCGUGAGGGAAGACGGCCCUACGGGUUGUAAACCUCUUUUGUCGGGGAGCAAAGCGAACCACGUGUGGUUCAUUGAGAGUACCCGAAGAAAAAGCAUCGGCUAACUCCGUGCCAGCAGCCGCGGUAAUACGGAGGAUGCGAGCGUUAUCCGGAUUUAUUGGGUUUAAAGGGUGCGCAGGCGGAGGUGCAAGUCAGCGGUCAAAUUGCGGGGCUCAACCCCGUACUGCCGUUGAAACUGCAUCCCUUGAGUGCGCGAGAAGUAUGCGGAAUGCGUGGUGUAGCGGUGAAAUGCAUAGAUAUCACGCAGAACUCCGAUUGCGAAGGCAGCAUACCGGCGCGCAACUGACGCUCAUGCACGAAAGCGUGGGUAUCGAACAGGAUUAGAUACCCUGGUAGUCCACGCAGUAAACGAUGAACACUAACUGUUCGGCCAGAAUGAUGGCUGAGUGGUACAGCGAAAGCGUUAAGUGUUCCACCUGGGGAGUACGCCGGCAACGGUGAAACUCAAAGGAAUUGACGGGGGCCCGCACAAGCGGAGGAACAUGUGGUUUAAUUCGAUGAUACGCGAGGAACCUUACCCGGGCUCAAACGACACAGGAAUACUUUUGAAAGGAGGUAGCCCUACGGGGUCUGUGUCGAGGUGCUGCAUGGUUGUCGUCAGCUCGUGCCGUGAGGUGUCGGCUUAAGUGCCAUAACGAGCGCAACCCCUAUCGCCAGUUACCAUCAAGUAAAGUUGGGGACUCUGGCGAGACUGCCGGCGCAAGCUGAGAGGAAGGCGGGGAUGACGUCAAAUCAGCACGGCCCUUACGUCCGGGGCGACACACGUGUUACAAUGGCAGGUACAGAGAGAAGCCAGGUGGUGACACCGAGCGGAACUCGAAAGCCUGUCUCAGUUCGGAUCGGAGUCUGCAACCCGACUCCGUGAAGCUGGAUUCGAUAGUAAUCGCGCAUCAGCCAUGGCGCGGUGAAUA